AUCAGACAUUCAGAUGACCUUAACAUAGGCACUGACUUGAAUUUCUUUGCAGUAAGUGCUACAUGUUGGGGUAGUCUUUGUGUCUGUGA
rnacentral:pre_miRNA from 1 species